rnacentral:rRNA from 1 species
UACGUAGGGGGCAAGCGUUAUCCGGAUUUACUGGGUGUAAAGGGAGUGUAGACGGUAUGGUAAGUCAGAUGUGAAAGCCCAGGGCUCAACCCUGGGACUGCAUUUGAAACUAUCAGACUAGAGUGCGGGAGAGGUAAGUGGAAUUCCUAGUGUAGCGGUGAAAUGCGUAGAUAUUAGGAGGAACACCAGUGGCGAAGGCGGCUUACUGGACCGUAACUGACGUUGAGGCUCGAAAGCGUGGGGAGCAAACAGG